UUUCCUUCCCUGUGUGCUGCAGGUACACACGGAGGGCUCUGGAGUUCACCCUCAAGCAGUGUCAGGAGCUCGAUGGCAGAAUGCUGGUUAGUGCCAUCACAUCUAGCUCACGAGAAAGAAGUACUGACAGACUGAGGUUUCCUUAUUGGUUUCAGCUGCCAUAGAAAUGCCAUAUUCGGACUUCCUGGGGCCCUAAGAAAUCUAUGGUCCAGUGGACAGAGGCUCUGAGCAGCACAGAAGCUCUGCGCCCAUUUGCUGCCUACGUACUUGGAUUCAAGUAAGCAGAGAACACCAGGAAAGAUUCAAAUUCCCUAAACCAGCAGGAUCUAAAGCUCUGAGGCCAUAGCAGGGAAGACAGAAGCCCACGUCUGCCAACUCCACAAGGGCAGAUAAACAAAACCCCCGGGAUAGCCCUCUGUUUCUCUGGGCUCUUCCUAAGAAGGCAGGGUGUUGACCACUUUCCCAAAGGCUCUGGAAAGCAGAUUACAAGGUCUCCCUGUGGCCUUUGGAAAGGAAGAAACAGUACGGCUGUUCUUCCACCUGCUGCAAAACAACCUGAUGAAUAUACAAGUCAACUGUAUCAAUCCACUGACACUGCACAGAAGAUCGAGGUCUAGGAGGUGAAAGAUGCAGAAUGGGGUGCACAGACACAGCAAUCAGCUUUGCAGCCCGUUCACGUACCCGAUGGUAAAGAGUGUUAUCGUCUCCAUCAUCCAUUAGUGGUACUGAUGUGUCGAAAAAAUGCUGGGAUCUUUCCUCUCGAUUCUUCAUGCCUAUCACAGAUAGGAAUUCAU
rnacentral:lncRNA from 1 species